rnacentral:tRNA from 1 species
GGGCCCGUAGCUCAGCGGUAGAGCGCCCGGCUGUUAACCGGAAGGUCGUGGGUUCGAUCCCCACCGGGCCCG